UCGGCUCCGCCCCUUCCCGUACGGGCCCAGCCACCGGUUCCCGGCGUCACCGCUUAGGCCCCGCCUCAGUGCGGCUCCCGAGCCCCUGCCGGCGCGCAGCGUGCCACAGCCUGGGCCGGGCGCAGGCCCUGUGUCCAGCUGGCUCGGUUUCCGCCUCGCCCUGGGCUCCGACGGACCUCGCCCCCGCGCCGCUUUGUCUCAGCUCCCGCUGGCCUCCCGCCUCCGCCAAGCGCGGAAAAGGCCAGGUGGAGCUUCCUCCUGAGCUUCGGGCCCCACCCUGGGAAGCAGCCGCCCUCGGACAGACGUCAGAUUUGAUAGAGAGGAGUCCUCCCUGUGCCCCCUGGAUCCCGGAGCCUCAGGUUUAGGCGCUCAAUAAACAGCUCUUCGAAGAAUCCUGGCCAGCCACGGGAGGAGGGGAUGCUCAGCGACCAAGGACAAGUCAGCCCGGCCCUCCUGCACACCCGCCAGUCUGCCCUGCUGACCUCAGGGCUGCAGAGCCUUACCCUCCAAACUCCCUGACCCCAGGGUGAGGGCUCAGCAAGAUUCCUUGUUCCUCAACUCUGGCCCCAGCUGCACCAGUUUCUAGGAGGAAGAAGCUGCUGCCCGUAAGUCAGAGCUUUUUUUGUAGGGGGUCACCCCACCCAGUCUGGGGGCGGGCUGAGGGUUGGGCCCUGCGCUGGAGGGCUGGGCCAGGCCUCGGAGUCACCUCGGCACCCCUAGCAAAGGGCGCUUGGUAGGGGGUGGGGCCUGGGCCGGAAGUGACCCCUCCCACCCUGUGAGCACUGAGGCAGGGCUUUGUGGCUGUACUUGGGGUGGGGUGGGGGGGCCUGUCUGGGUGGCAGCCCGCUGGGCAGGCCUGUCUGUGGCACUGAAAUCUGGGUGUCUCGGGACUGACACCCAGGGAGUGCGCCGGCCCCACUUGGCUGCACUAUGACCUUUGGGGGCCCUGGGCAUGUUUGCCUUUGUGGGUGGGACUCUUCCUCGG